rnacentral:rRNA from 1 species
GAUGAACGCUGGCGGCGUGCCUAAUACAUGCAAGUCGAGCGAACAGAUGAGGAGCUUGCUCCUCUGACGUUAGCGGCGGACGGGUGAGUAACACGUGGAUAACCUCCCUAUAAGACUGGGAUAACUUCGGGAAACCGGAGCUACUACCGGAUAAUAUAUUGAACCGCAUGGUUCAAUAGUGAAAGACGGUUUUGCUGUCGCUUAUAGAUGGAUCCGCGCCGCAUUAGCUAGUUGGUAAGGUAACGGCUUACCAAGGCAACGAUGCGUAGCCGACCUGAGAGGGUGAUCGGCCACACUGGAACUGAGACACGGUCCAGACUCCUACGGGAGGCAGCAGUAGGGAAUCUUCCGCAAUGGGCGAAAGCCUGACGGAGCAACGCCGCGUGAGUGAUGAAGGUCUUCGGAUCGUAAAACUCUGUUAUUAGGGAAGAACAAAUGUGUAAUUAACUAUGCACGUCUUGACGGUACCUAAUCAGAAAGCCACGGCUAACUACGUG